CAUGAAGUCCUUGAUUUGCCUGUCCAUGUAUGGAUGUUCAGGGAGACCAGUGUUCGUUUUGAUUUUACAAAAUUGGCUUCACUGGAGAAAGUCACCGCUCACAUCUACUGUUUAUAUGCUACACCACGGGAGGUUUCCCAAGUGGAAGCGGCGCUGAGGCGCGCAGUUGACGUUCAUCCCAAUAAUGUCAUCCUUGAAAUGGAAAGGUUUGGUGAAGAAGAAAUGGAUUUUUCGUUUACAGGAGAAAAAGAGGAGUCGACGGAUCAUGAUGCCACAACACAAAACGAGGAGGAUAUUUGCCACCACAGAAAUCAAUCACGGACGGAGAGGAUCUCUGACCAUCAAAUACACUCUUGAUGAGCAAAUACUUCCUGCAACACGCAGGUUUGGUUCUACAUAGGACUUGUGCAACCAUGACGCUGGCUAGAGGAUCUACUAGUUAUUUGUUGACGUGGAGCUUAAUUCUCCACUCCCGCAAAAAAAUGGAAAAGUUAAAAAAAAUAAAACAAAAAGCAAAACAAAAUGUUGCUACA